AGAGUUUGAUCAUGGCUCAGAACGAACGCUGGCGGCGCGCCUAAUACAUGCAAGUCGAGCGAGAAGACGUAGCAAUACGUUUGUAAAGCGGCGAACGGGUGAGGAAUACAUGGGUAACCUACCCUCGAGUGGGGAAUAACUAGCCGAAAGGUUAGCUAAUACCGCGUACGCUUCUUGGACUUCGGUUCAGGGAGGAAAGCGAUACCGUGGGUAUCGCGCUCUUGGAUGGGCUCAUGUCCUAUCAGCUUGUUGGUGAGGUAACGGCUCACCAAGGCUUCGACGGGUAGCUGGUCUGAGAGGACGAUCAGCCACACUGGCACUGCGACACGGGCCAGACUCCUACGGGAGGCAGCAGUAAGGAAUAUUGCGCAAUGGGCGAAAGCCUGACGCAGCGACGCCGCGUGGGGGAUGAAGGUCUUCGGAUUGUAAACCCCUUUCGGGAGGGAAGAUGGAAUGGGGUAACCCAUUCGGACGGUACCUCCAGAAGCAGCCACGGCUAACUUCGUGCCAGCAGCCGCGGUAAUACGAAGGUGGCAAGCGUUGUUCGGAUUUACUGGGCGUACAGGGAGCGUAGGCGGUUCGGUAAGCCCUCUGUGAAAUCUCCAGGCUUAACCUGGAACAGUCGGAGGGGACUGUCGGGCUAGAGGACGGGAGAGGAGCGCGGAAUUCCCGGUGUAGCGGUGAAAUGCGUAGAGAUCGGGAGGAAGGCCGGUGGCGAAGCGGCGCUCUGGAACGUUUCUGACGCUGAGGCUCGAAAGCGUGGGGAGCAAACAGGAUUAGAUACCCUAGUAGUCC
rnacentral:rRNA from 1 species